rnacentral:lncRNA from 1 species
ACCAUGCCCGCGUCUAGACUGCAAUUGAAGGAAGCGGCUGCUCCUCAAUGGCCUCGGGGCUCAGUGGGUUCGGUUGUGAGUAGGAAGACGCUAGCGGGUUAGAGCCGGGGUGAGGUAUUUGCUAGAAGGUGGUGUUCCUCGGGAGCUUGAGUGUCACCGCUGUGACAGCAUCCGUGGCCUCCGUCCUGAUGAACUUUGUGAUCUUGAACAGUGAUUGCAAGUAAUUGCUGAAUGAAUAAAACAGGCCUCCUAAGCCUAGUAUGUUGCAAGUCUGAAACAGACUAAUGUUCUCUGGCUGUUUGCAUUCUUGAAAGGAAGCUAGCAUAUAAGCAAGUCUCCAUCUUCUGCUGGUAUACAGAGGGUUCCUGGAGCCGCUGAGUGGAGACCAGGUUGAGAUUCCCCACGUGUCUCUCUUCCCUCUCAGUGAAGAAGGGAGGACCAUGUCACUAGACUUUGGCAGUGUGGCCCUGCAGACGCAAAAUGAAGACGAAGAAUUUGACAAAGAAGACUAUGAAAGGGAGAAAGAGGUAAGUUAUUCAGAAGAAUUCUAAACCCGAUCUUAAACAAUUUUAUAUUCUAACCAAAAUUAUAUCAUUUUGUGUCAUUUCAAAGGUCUUUUCCCCUACCCUGAAACUUGAUCGGCAUUUUAAAUGGUAGAUGAGUGGAAGGCUUCCUUUUUUUGAGACAAGAAUAAAACACAACUGUGUAUGAUGCCAUCAGUUAAAUGGUUAGAUUCUUUAAGAUCUUUUCAUUUAUGAGGUAGUGGUUGAUCUUGGAGGCAGAGAUGUACUUGCAUGGGCAAGUCAGCAAGAUU